rnacentral:lncRNA from 1 species
GGCGCGGAAGGAUUGUAGGACAGAAAAACGAUAUGGCACUAGACUUAUUGGACGAACACAAGAACACUCGAAACUAAGGGUAGAUGUGAACCUAAUGGUAUACCUGAAGCUGAUUACCACUUGAUGAGAACAAAGGGUGGCCCGAUCUUCCCAAAGGUUCUGGUAACUCUCGAUUUAGCGGAGACGAGAUACAAAUCGAUCUGGGUUCCAAACAACACGAUCCGAAAUCCUACAAUUUUUUAAAUUUUUUUUUAUAUUUUUGUUUUACUUAGAAGCACUAAAGAAGUAACCACAGAAAAUUUGAGCUUCAACAAGUGAAAGACGUGGCCUGCAGAAUUUUUUGAAGAUUGUGAAAAAAGUGAAAUAAAGUUCAUGAGAUGAAAACUCAAACUUCAGAGGCGAGUUUGGAGAUUCUAAAAUUUUCAAACCCACCAAUGGCAGAGACAGACAGAUCCAAACUUUUUUUCUGACCGAUUUUGAUAUAUGGAACAAUGAAAUCAGUGUUCGUAUGUGAAAGUUAUGGUUGUUUUACGAACGGUCUCCGAAUUCGAUGACAAAACGGUCCGAAAGUGGGAAAAAAAUUGCGGCGGUGGCUAGAAAUUGAUGAAAAUGGUGGGGAAAAAUACACAAACUGGACUCUAACAAGACCCAACCAGCAACAAGACCCCGACUAUGACACAAACUCGACACUGCGGACUCUGAAACUGAAGUAUGCAGAGGCUAUGGCCCGGAAGGAUUGUAGGACGGGAAAACGAUAUGACACUAGAUUUAUGGGACGAACACAAGAACACUCGAAAGUAAGGGUAGAUGUGAACCUAACGGUAUACCUGAAGCUGAUUACCACUUGAUGAGAACAAGGGUGGCCCGAUCUUUCCAAAUGUUCUCGUAACUCUCGAUUUAGUGGAGACGAGACACAAAUCGAUCCGGCUUCCGAACAACACGAUCCAAAACGCUGCAUUUUUUUAUUUUUCUGGAAAUUUUCUUUUAUUUAGGAGCACUAAAGAAGUAAUCACAGAAAAUAUGAGCUUAAACAAGUGAAAGACGUGGCCUGCGGAAUUUUCUGAAGAUUGCGAAAAAUGUGAAAUCAAUUUCACGAGGUGAAAACUCAAACUUCGUGGGCAAGUUUGCAGAUUCUGAAAUUUUUAAACCCGCCUUUGGUGGGCACAGAC